rnacentral:rRNA from 1 species
UACGAGGGGGGCGAGCGUUGUUCGGAAUUAUUGGGCGUAAAGGGUGCGUAGGCGGUUUGGUAAGUCUGAUGUGAAAUCUAUGGGCUCAACUCAUAGUCUGCAUCGGAAACUGCCGGGCUUGAGUAUGGGAGAGGUGAGUGGAAUUCCUGGUGUAGCGGUGAAAUGCGUAGAUAUCAGGAGGAACACCUGUGGCGAAAGCGGCUCACUGGACCAUAACUGACGCUGAUGCGCGAAAGCUAGGGGAGCAAACAGG